CUCAGUAAGCGGGGAAGAAGCAGGUUAGGCCAGACACAACAUUAGUGUCCCGGGGCUUGGACUGGAGUCGAAUAACUGGUCUGCCUUCCCCAAAGGGAGAUUAUUCUGCCUGCAGACCUCCUGGCAACUCGGGAGCAUCGCUGACACGGUGGCCGGCCCUGCGACAGCCUUCACCCAGAAGACUCUGUGAAAGAUACUCCCUGGGGUCUGUGUGCUGGGACAGGGAAAAGGGACUGGAGAAAAGAAACACAUUUGUCUUCUCUCAGCCAACACUGGUUCGCCUGCCUGCACGGUGAGCUCCAAAUGACUCCAUUUGAGACUUUUUUGAGGGACACUUGCCCUUGGAACCCAGCCACCAUGUUAUAAGGAGGUUGAGGACAUGUGCAGAGGCUGCAUCCGGACAUUCCAUCUGACAACUCUCACCAGGCUCCAGGCAGCCGCUAGCAUUAAUUGCCAGACACAUGAAGAAAUUGAGACCUAAGAAAAUUAAGAGCCAAGUUCAAGACCACAUAACUAAGAAUCUCAGUUCUGCUCAAGUGAGCGUGCUCUCUACCUGGCUAACUCCGGCCCUAGCAGAGAAGGCGAUCUUUUGCGCUGGCUGCUCUCCGACAUGGCCCACAUGAUGCAUUCAACAGAGGACGUGCUCUAAAGAUGUACUGUACCCCAGAGUCAACUGUGGUCUGCAAGCAGAAGGUUUGUGAGUAACUGACUAUCAGAAGGUCAGUGAGUAAUUUGAAGCUAUGUCACAAAGCCUCCAUCAUUCAUGUCACUGCAUCUCCUCACCCAGGCACCUCAUCAUCUCAUGUCAUCACCAGA